AUGGUCGCCGCGCAAUUUGCGUACAUCGUCGUCACCCCAACAUGCUGGCACACGUGGACGGGGUUAAGUUGGCAGGCCUUCUCCAGUUUGCCGAGUUUCUUCAAGCUCUCCGCCGCGUCUGUCGUGAUGUUGUGCCUUGAUACAUGGUACUUUCAGGUGGAUUUAUGGUUGGGUGUUUAUGAUCUCAGUAGGGUUCAACGCAGCUGCAAGAGCAAUGAGCUUGGCGCCGGCAAACCCCAGUCUGCAUUUUUCUCUGUGUGGGUGGUGACCGGGAUUUCUACAGCAAUCUCUACUAUCCUUGCUCGACUUGUUGCAAAAGGUUUUCGACCAGGUGUUGCUGUUGGAUGUGGAUGGCAACAAUUUGUUGCUUACGUGAAUGUCGGCUCUUACUACAUCAUAGGCGUUCCACUUGGUGUUGUUCUUGGGUUUUUCUUCAAUCUUGGCGCGAAGGGUAUUUGGAGUGGCUUGAUUGGGGGAACGUCCUUGCAGACAACCAUUCUACUGUGGGUCACCAUGAGAACUGACUGGAUGAAAGAGGUAGAGGAUGCGCAGAAAAGGUUGAACAAGUGGGAUGAGAAGAGAGAUCCCCUCCUUACAGGCUUCAAGGACAAUAACUAA
rnacentral:rRNA from 1 species